GACGAACGCUGGCGGCGUGCCUAAUACAUGCAAGUCGAACGCUUUGAUUUUCACCGGAGCUUGCUCCACCGAAAAUCAAAGAGUGGCGAACGGGUGAGUAACACGUGGGCAACCUGCCCAACCGAGGGGGAUAACACUUGGAAACAGGUGCUAAUACCGCAUAAUUUAUUUUUCCGCAUGGAAGAAUAAUAAAAGACGCUUCGGUGUCACUGUUGGAUGGGCCCGCGCUGCAUUAGUUAGUUGGUGGGGUAACGGCCUACCAAGACCAUGAUGCAUAGCCGACCUGAGAGGGUGAUCGGCCACACUGGGACUGAGACGCGGCCCAGACUCCUACGGGAGGCAGCAGUAGGGAAUCUUCGGCAAUGGACGAAAGUCUGACCGAGCAACGCCGCGUGAGUGAAGAAGGUUUUCGGAUCGUAAAACUCUGUUGUUAGAGAAGAACAAGUGAGAGAGUUACUGUUCUCACCUUGACGGUAUCUAACCAGAAAGCCACGGCUAACUACGUGCCAGCAGCCGCGGUAAUACGUAGGUGGCAAGCGUUGUCCGGAUUUAUUGGGCGUAAAGCGAGCGCAGGCGGUUUCUUAAGUCUGAUGUGAAAGCCCUCGGCUCAACCGAGGAAGGUCAUUGGAAACUGGGGAACUUGAGUGCAGAAGAGGAGAGUGGAAUUCCAUGUGUAGCGGUGAAAUGCGUAGAUAUAUGGAGGAACACCAGUGGCGAAGGCGACUCUCUGGUCUGUAACUGACGCUGAGGCUCGAAAGCGUGGGGAGCAAACAGG
rnacentral:rRNA from 1 species